rnacentral:rRNA from 1 species
GGAUGGACCUGCGGUGCAUUAGCUAGUUGGUAGGGGUAAACGGCCUACCAAGGGCGAUGAUGCAUAGCCGAGUUGAGAGACUGAUCGGCCACAUUGGGACUGAGACACGGCCCAAACUCCUGCGGGAGGCAGCAGUAGGGAAUCUUCCACAAUGGACGCAAGUCUGAUGGAGCAACGCCGCGUGAGUGAAGAAGGGUUUCGGCUCGUAAAGCUCUGUUGUUGGUGAAGAAGGACAGGGGGCAGUAACUGACCUUUGUUUGACGGUAAUCAAUUAGAAAGUCACGGGCUAACUACGUGUCAGCAGCCGCGGUAAAU